GGGAAGAGAUCAAAUUUGUAAUCUGGUACCUUCGGUGCCCGAGUUGUAAUCUCGAGAAGUGUUUUCCGCGCUAGACCGCAUAAAAGUCUGUUGGAAUAUAGCGUCAAAGUGGGUGAGAACCCCGUCCUUGAUGCGGACGCCUAGUGCUUUGUGAUACACUUUCGAAGAGUCGAGUUGUUUGGGAAUGCAGCUCAAAUUGGGUGGUAAAUUCCAUCUAAAGCUAAAUAUUGGCGAGAGACCGAUAGCGAACAAGUACCGUGAGGGAAAGAUGAAAAGCACUUUGGAAAGAGAGUUAAAAGUACGUGAAAUUGUUGAAAGGGAAACGCUUGAAGUCAGACUUGCGUAUUGGAGUUCAGCCGCAAGGUGUAUUCUUCAGUUUGCAGGCCAGCAUCAGUUUUCGGGGAUACAAAAGCGUGAGGGGAAGGUAGCAGCCCCGGCUGUGUUAUAGCCCCUCACUGGAUGCCUCCCUGGGGACUGAGGAACGCAGCGCACUUUUUGCAAGUCCUUCGGGUCUUUCUGCGCUUAGGAUGCUGGUGGAAUGGCUUUAAACGACCCGUCUUGAAACACGGACCA
rnacentral:rRNA from 1 species